rnacentral:tRNA from 1 species
GAGCCGGUAGCUCAGCCUGGUAGAGCACUCGGCUUUUAACCGAGUGGUCGCGGGUUCGAAUCCCGUCCGGCUCA